GAAAAUCUGGAAGAGUUUCUCUGUUGGAAAUCUGUCAGUCUGAUCUCUGAAGAACUCUGGAGAAUCAAACCUGCCAAAGACCUGCCUGCCCGCUCUCAGAAGAAUCUGUAAGAGAAACUCAAUCUGUCCCUGUAAACUCUCUAGCCAAGCUCUGCCUCCGCCAGGCCCUCUGCCUGCAAACAGCCUCUGGACCCUCCUGGUUCCCCCUCUCUGCUGCUCUGCUCAAACUUAAGAUCAGUAAACCCAGUCGUGACCAAUCCUGGAUCUGAUAACCCCCUGGAUCUGUACAUUUAUUAUUGUGCCUUGUUCAAUAAACUGUUGAACUUUU